GGGCGAAUGGUCUAGGGGUAUGAUACUCCCUUCGCAUCUUUACGAUUCAUACGAAUCAGCGCGUCUGGGAGGGGUCCGGGGUUCAAUUCCCCGUUCGUCCA